rnacentral:rRNA from 1 species
GACGAACGCUGGCGGCGUGCUUAACACAUGCAAGUCGAACGGAGUGGCGAACGGGUGAGUAACGCGUAAUCAACCUGCCCUUCAGGGGGGGACAACAGUUGGAAACGACUGCUAAUACCGCAUACUGAAGGAGGGGAUUGCGUCUGAUUAGCUCGUUGGAGGGGUAACGGCCCACCAAGGCGAUGAUCAGUAGCCGGGUUGGGAGGAUGAACGGCCAAAUUGGGACUGGGAAACGGCCCAGACUCCUACGGGAGGCAGCAGUGGGGAAUCUGCCGAAAUGGACGAAAGUCUGAAGGAGCAACGCCGCGUGAGUGAUGACGGCCUUCGGGGUGUAAAGCUCUGUUAAUCGGGACGCGGUACCGGAAUAGAAAGCCACGGCUAACUACGUGCCAGCAGCCGCGGUAAUUC